UUCGCUUCUUGUUUUUUUGGCUAAGAUCGAGUAUAGUAUCUGUUCUUAUCAGUUUAAUAUCUGAUACGUCCCCUAUCUGAAGACCAUUUAUUAAAUGGAUUUUUGGAACAGGGGAUGGAAAAAGAAUUUGCUCUGUCCACUGCACACUUUGGCCUGUUAUGGCAGUUCCGCCAGGAGUGGUACUUCAC